UGUGCCUUCUGAAAAGAUGCAUGCAUGUGUGCUAAGUUGCUUCAGUCAUGUCUGACUCUUUCCAACCCUACGGACUCCAGAAGGUACAUAUAUUCAAAUUAAUCCUUUUCUGGAAAGAUUUUGAGAGUAAUUCUUAAAGUAAUCAUUGACUAGUUUUCACAGAUUGUUUGAUUACUUGGUAACUCCUAUGAUAUAUUAACCCAGGUGGUCUAUUCUGCCAUUUCCUUACCCGCACAAGAUAUCCAAAUUAGCGCCGAAUUAUUUUUUCCCCUCAAGACCUUUUUCUCUUACUAGAAUGACUCAGUUCAGAACAGGCUCAGGCAAUAUAAUUUGUGGUUCACAGUCUUCUAAAAUAUAGAGCAAAAGUUAGGCUGAUGAAUCUUCUUACAUCAUAUAGGAGCCUGGGGGAAAGAUGCAUAACAGUACCUCCUCUAUUACAUCACUAUGAAGCACAUAGAAGUAAAAAAUUGAAAAGGACUUGUGAUUCUGAACUUGGGCCUGCACUUGAGACUAUUCCCAAGUCUAUCAUAAUUUUAAUGAGGACUCUAUUAAACACUCUGUGAGACUGAUGGACUCAAAGCAUUAAUUAUCCAACCAUGCCAUGACAGCCAUUUUUGGAAAGAUAUCUGAGAAGAGCACCCUGCUAGUGACAACAGAGCCCUGGAAUUCCUCUUUAAACUACGCUACCUCCUGGGCAUUGCAUGAGUGCUACAUCUUUGCUGCCAGGACUGACCCAAUGGAGUCUUCAAAAUUACCAGUGAUAAUGUAUCUUCUGGGUUCCUUAAUGUACCAAAGCCACUGUGGAGAGAAUCUAUCACUCUUCACUCUUGCAUUUCAUAUCAUGAGGAAGUGAUCUCCUCGGCCUUUUACCCAUACAACCACUCCUAAGAACAUGCUAUUCCACAAGACAAAUUCUAGCAGAUGGAUGAUAUCAAUACUUAUUUCAGAAGCAGAGAUCUCAGGCUCUGUGGUUUCUGGAUAAGAAAGAUCUGCCCUUCAAGUAAGAUUAAGAAAAAAAUUUGCUGACCCCCAUCUUAGACAAAUAAAAAGCUACGCUUGAGGGCCUGUGAGGGUGACGACUCAGAGAACAAAACAGCCGACUCUCGAGCCCAUCUGGGAAUGCUCUUAUGGAGAGGAGGACAAGGAAAAUAAAUUGG